GGAGCUGCUGGUUAGCCACUGGAGUCUGUGCAGGGCAUGGUGGGCUGUGCGGCUUGCUCACAGUGUUGCCUGUUGCUCCUAUUUCUAUCCGGUGGGGGAGAAACAUUUGAGUUUAGGUUGCUGGCCAUGACCCUUUGCUCUAGACUAGAGCCAAAGUUCUUAUUAGUAAGACGUCAAAUACAUUUCAUUCUCAGAGCGCCGACUUGCGUCGUAAGAAAUUCAUCAUUCAAUUUGAGUUUUUGUGCAAGAUACUUCAUUUGGCGCCAGUCCUCCCAAUUCCCUCUUCUCCACCUCUAAAAUUAAAAGGGAAUUUGGGUGCUGAUUAUUCAGCCAGAUAACAUUUUUUGAAUUGUGCUUGUGUUUUAAAUUAAUAGAGUUUAUAACAUUCCCUGUGGGAUCAGUAACAAUGAUCAUGAAGCCACCUGCGGGACAUGAUUGCAUAAAGAGCAGUUCUGAGCAGCCAAACGAUUAGACAUUCAGCAAUGAACAGGAGAAGAAAGUCAUCAAAAAUUUUUUUUGGUCCAGCUCCAACACUGACAUGGGACAGAUGGAGAAAAGCAUUAAAGCCAUAAAAGAAAAUUGGAAAAUCCAGUUUAAUAAUGACACAUCUGCCACCUGUUUCUUGUAAUGUGAGUUGGUGAAGACAUUCUUCUAAGAAAUUCUUCUGACAGAACAACAACAAAUCUCAGGAGCUACCUGGAAGAAGAAAAAAACUGAAGAUGGAACCAGGACAGCCAUCGGGGGGCGGGAUGGGGGAACAACUUUAGGGGCCCCAGUUGUUAUAUGUCUACUGGGCCCCAUUUGAAAAUGUUGGUUAAGAUGGCUGCCCUCCAUGGAAUAUCCUUGAACCAAUUCAUCCAUUUCCCAGAUAAGUCAAAUGUUCUCUUCUUGAUAAACAUCUGUCUAUAAGUACUUUGGGACAAAGGAAAGAAAUGCGGAAUUCAGAAGAGCACAGUAGGCAGUAUGUGAGUGCAUCUGAUGCUAAAUCAGGUGUUUACACUGCAUCUGAGAAAGGGAGUGCUUUAGAAGACUGACAAAAAUAUGACUGUCAUUUUUUCUCUUUGAUUUGACAAAAUUGUAUUUGUCUUUUUAAAUUAGCUAAAUUAAUCCAAAUAAAUAUGAAUUAAAAAGA